rnacentral:tRNA from 1 species
GCACUGGUUGCCGAACUCGCCGAAGGCCGCCAUGAUGUCCACCGUGUCUCCGUUCACGCGGAACGUCGCGGGUUCGAGCUCCCGCUCGGUGCG